GGAAAGGUUGCUUUAGCAACCACAUAGAUUGCAUACAACUCUAAAG
rfam:Sarcophilus harrisii ctg7180002291765, whole genome shotgun sequence.